CAAGUCGAACGGUGACGACCAGCUUGCUGGUCUGAUCAGUGGCGAACGGGUGAGUAACACGUGAGCAACCUGCCCUUCACUCUGGGAUAAGCCUUGGAAACGAGGUCUAAUACCGGAUAUGAGACGCACCGGCAUCGGUAGCGUCUGGAAAGAUUUAUCGGUGAGGGAUGGGCUCGCGGCCUAUCAGCUUGUUGGUGGGGUGAUGGCCUACCAAGGCGACGACGGGUAGCCGGCCUGAGAGGGCGACCGGCCACACUGGGACUGAGACACGGCCCAGACUCCUACGGGAGGCAGCAGUGGGGAAUAUUGCACAAUGGGCGCAAGCCUGAUGCAGCGACGCCGCGUGAGGGAUGACGGCCUUCGGGUUGUAAACCUCUUUCAGCAGGGAAGAAGCGCAAGUGACGGUACCUGCAGAAGAAGCGCCGGCUAACUACGUGCCAGCAGCCGCGGUAAUACGUAGGGCGCAAGCGUUGUCCGGAAUUAUUGGGCGUAAAGAGCUCGUAGGCGGUUUGUCGCGUCUGCUGUGAAAUCCUCAGGCUCAACCUGGGGCUUGCAGUGGGUACGGGCAGACUAGAGUGCGGUAGGGGUGACUGGAAUUCCUGGUGUAGCGGUGGAAUGCGCAGAUAUCAGGAGGAACACCGAUGGCGAAGGCAGGUCACUGGGCCGCAACUGACGCUGAGGAGCGAAAGCAUGGGGAGCGAACAGGAUUAGAUACCCUGGUAGUCCAUGCCGUAAACGUUGGGCACUAGGUGUGGGGCUCAUUCCACGAGUUCCGUGCCGCAGCAAACGCAUUAAGUGCCCCGCCUGGGGAGUACGGCCGCAAGGCUAAAACUCAAAGAAAUUGACGGGGGCCCGCACAAGCGGCGGAGCAUGCGGAUUAAUUCGAUGCAACGCGAAGAACCUUACCAAGGCUUGACAUGCACCGGUAACACUCAGAGAUGGGUGCCCCGCAAGGUCGGUGUACAGGUGGUGCAUGGUUGUCGUCAGCUCGUGUCGUGAGAUGUUGGGUUAAGUCCCGCAACGAGCGCAACCCUCGUCCCAUGUUGCCAGCGGGUUAUGCCGGGGACUCAUGGGA
rnacentral:rRNA from 1 species